UGGUGACACGGUGGUUACGGUGGCUGGAUUCCACAAGGCAGAUUACGCGCUUCAAGCCUCAGGCCUGGAGGCUUGAGAAACACACCAGGUGCACGUGCGGGCAUGACCAACGUCCCAAGAGAAGAACGAAGGGGAAGGGAAUCGCGCUGUGGCCUUUCCCUCUAGGGGGUGAUUUCUCACUUUCUCUCUCCUCUCUGCCCGGAUGCCAGCCUGUGUCUUUUGGUGGAGCCGGAUUCUCAAUAAUAAGGAAAACCAAUCUUUAGAAGACUACUAAGAGGUUACAGAGUAAUUUACAUUUAAAUAGAAGGGGAUCUGAAACUCAGACGCACACCUACGGCUGCAGGAGCUGCUCCUUACCGCAACAAUAACCGUGUCCGUGCCACGCCAGGCUUCUCUUGCCAUCUGCCUUGACUCCUGGAAGAGAACGCAGCUACAGUGGGGUCCUGGGACCACUAACUCACUGCUCCCGGAGCUGCCUGCCACACGGUGCUCAGAUCCUGAAAAGGGCUGAUCUGAGUAGCCCGAAGUGCCAUCUUAGCCUCCAAGUUGGACCAAAAGCAAAAGACACCCCAGCAUCAUUGCAUGGCUUCUGAGGAUGGUGAAGUCUAUCCAAGGAAACAACUAACCUCCAGUUAGCAUAUGCAUGGCAGCACGGAGACUUGACCCGAGUGGGAGAACAGCAGCUGCACCCUUAAUGCCUAUCUCAGCCUUAGUUGAUGAAAAUUGGAGGAGGUGAUAGAACCAGUCCAUUGCUAAUGUCUCCUAAUGACGCAGAGAUGAAAAUUUAAAAUGGGCCUCUACAUACUAUGUUAACUCCCGAUUUUAGCAGUCCCUCAACAAUCCAUAAACCCUUCUCCCCUUUUAUUUGCCAAAGAUUGACACUGCUAAUCAGGGCUAAGAUGAACUUAAAUAAUGAACUACGUGUACCAAUAUGUUAAUCCACUGGCAAAGCACUGAGAGGGCACGGCCACGUUGCGCUGGGAUGCUAGAGCGAGGAUUGCGGGUCAUCCUAACAUCUUCUACCAAAAGCUGCUCGAAGGAUGUAUCUGCUAAGAAGAUCACCCGUAAACAGUAACUGCUACGGUUUCAAUGAAUCCACACAAAAGUUCCUGUGUUGGACUUUGGCUGUAUUGUGAAGGUACUGAGAUAAAAUUUAAUUCUGCUAGAAGACUAAGAGGUGGAGCCUUUGGAGGGUGAUUAUGAUGAGGGCCCCAUGAAUGGCUAGGCAUGGUCUAUAAGAAGUCACAAGGACACAGAGGCACGCGCUCCUGCUCUUUUCAGUGCUGUGAUGUAUCAAGAAGACCCUCACAGACAUGGCCUCUGGACCUUGGAGCUUCAAACCACGAGCUGAAUAAACCUCUGCUUUUAUAAACUACCCAGACAUCAGUAUUUCCAUUAUUACCGACGGAACAGACUAGAACAGAAUCCAAUCAAAAUAGAAUUGAAAAAAAUCAAAGAA